GGUUUGGAGAGCUUCUGGGUUUUGAAUACGUCUACUUGCUGGGAGCGUGGCACACCUCAAACUCCGUGGAGACAGAAGCUCUGCUCUCUGUGCACCCUAACAGAGCUUGCCUGUGUACCUCUUCGUGUGGCUAAUUCCUCAAGUCGGAUUUUCUAGGGAGCAGGAAGACACUGGGCUCAGAAUGGCACUUGGGAGAACAAGUAUGAAGUCAUCAUGCCUCCUGUUUACAGGACACUGAGCUUUGGUUUUUCCAGUGGUCAUGUAUGGAUGUGAGAGUUGCACUAUAAAGAAAGCUGAGUGCCAGAGAAUUGAUGCUUUUGAAUUGUGGUGUUGGAGAGGACUCUUGAGAAUCCCUUGGACUGCAAGGAGAUCCAACCAGUCCAUUCUGAAGGAGAUCAGCCCUGGGAUUUCUUUGGAAGAACUGAUGCUAAAGCUGAAACUCCAGUACUUUGGCCACCUGAUGCGAAGAACUACCUCCUUGGAAAAGACCCUGAUACUGGGAAAGAUUGAAGCAGGGAGGAGAAGGGGAUGACAGAGGAUUAGAUGUUUGGGUGGCAUCACCAACUCAAUGGACAUGAGCUUGAGUAAGCUUCGGGAGUUGGUGUGGACAGGGAAGCCUGGUGUGAUGCAGUCCAUGGGGUCUCAAAGAGUUGAACACGACUGAGCGACUGAACUGAAUUGAACUGAGCUCCCAAGCAGUAGGGGUGGAUCCAAGGAAGUCUGCUGGGGACAGGUCCCCUUCUCCUCUGGGGUCAGUGUGCCUGGGAACCAAGCUGAAAAGUGGAUCCUGUUUCCUCAGGACAACCCUCUGGGUCAGGGUUUGUCAUCAAGGCAAGGCUGCCAGAGGAACAGAGAUCUCAAAACCACUCACCCUGAUAACCAUUUAAACAGGCAGAGCAAGCUCCAGGCGCCCAGGUGGGCAGGCCACCUGGCUGGGAUGAGGACCCUGAUGCAGUUGAAGCACACACAUGGCCUGGAACAUCGGGUGACUCCCUGCCACCACCCUGCAGCCUUUCUAAAACCCUGGCAGCAGAAGAACGAACAGCCGUGUGGCUUGUCGACCACCUUCUGGAAACUGAGACGGGCUGUCUCCGGGCUGUGCCCGGAGUUUGGAUCCACCCUUUGUCAUGAGGUCUGCAGCAAGGCUUUCAGUGGCUCCAGCCAGCUCCCCGAGGAGCCAGCAGAUGCCACCAGUCCUUUGUUCAGCCUCACACACAGCCCCGCAGCAAGUCUGGUUUGCAGGUAACAGCUUGGAAAGAUGACGUUAAGAACAAAGAAGAACAUUUGGAGGGGCG
ensembl:lncRNA